UCUUAUGAAGUUAGCGGCGGACGGGUGAGUAACACGUGGGUAACCUGCCCAUAAGACUGGGAUAACUCCGGGAAACCGGGGCUAAUACCGGAUAACAUUUUGAACCGCAUGGUUCGAAAUUGAAAGGCGGCUUCGGCUGUCACUUAUGGAUGGACCCGCGUCGCAUUAGCUAGUUGGUGAGGUAACGGCUCACCAAGGCAACGAUGCGUAGCCGACCUGAGAGGGUGAUCGGCCACACUGGGACUGAGACACGGCCCAGACUCCUACGGGAGGCAGCAGUAGGGAAUCUUCCGCAAUGGACGAAAGUCUGACGGACCAACGCCGCGUGAGUGAUGAAGGCUUUCGGGUCGUAAAACUCUGUUGUUAGGGAAGAACAAGUGCUAGUUGAAUAAGCUGGCACCUUGACGGUACCUAACCAGAAAGCCACGGCUAACUACGUGCCAGCAGCCGCGGUAAUACGUAGGUGGCAAGCGUUAUCCGGAAUUAUUGGGCGUAAAGCGCGCGCA
rnacentral:rRNA from 2 species